UCGAACGGCAGCGGGGGCUUCGGCCUGCCGGCGAGUGGCGAACGGGUGAGUAAUGCAUCGGAACGUACCCAGUCGUGGGGGAUAACUACGCGAAAGCGUAGCUAAUACCGCAUACGCCCUGAGGGGGAAAGCGGGGGACCUUCGGGCCUCGCGCGAUUGGAGCGGCUGAUGUCGGAUUAGCUAGUUGGUGGGGUAAAGGCCUACCAAGGCGACGAUCCGUAGCUGGUCUGAGAGGAUGAUCAGCCACACUGGGACUGAGACACGGCCCAGACUCCUACGGGAGGCAGCAGUGGGGAAUUUUGGACAAUGGGCGCAAGCCUGAUCCAGCCAUGCCGCGUGAGUGAAGAAGGCCUUCGGGUUGUAAAGCUCUUUCAGACGGAAAGAAAUCGGGCGCGUGAAUAGCGUGCCUGGAUGACGGUACUGUCAGAAGAAGCACCGGCUAACUACGUGCCAGCAGCCGCGGUA
rnacentral:rRNA from 1 species